rnacentral:lncRNA from 1 species
UGACACUAGUCUCUGUUUCUGAGAAAAUGUGAUAGGUGGUUUUCACAAGAAGUCACCUAUUUUCUUUCAUAUAAAUUCCUUCGAGCAAAACAUCUGUGAACACUUGAUGCCUAAAAGACAAGAUGGCUUCCCUCUUGGGAGUUUCUCAAAGUUGUUUUCAGCCACCAAAUCAGUAUGAGUCAGAGUUGAAUAGGCUCCCACACAUUGAUGUACCAUCAUCGCCAUCAUAUCACAGUAGGCGUCACUUCCUGCAAAAGAAAAGACUGCACUAGGGAAAUUCAUUUCAAUAGCCUUUUAUUUUAUCAGAAGUGUCUAUGUAUAAGGUAAAAUUAUGUUUUAUUCAGCCACCAGAGGGAGCCGCCAAAUCUAUGGAUUCUGAAAAAAGACAUAAGACUGAAG